CCUUCUCCAUAAUCCUUAUGUCUGAGAAGAAGCCAGCUUCCAAUUUCAAUCAAUUAGGGGAGACAGGUCAGAGUCUACUGCAAACUCCAUGCCAGAGGAGGACUUCUUUCCUCAGUCUCAAAAUCCUCUGGAGCUGAGCGUCAUUCCUCAAGUCAAGAACUUUCACUAGUAAAAUCUAUACUUAAGAUGCAAAACCAUGUGAUUUAUAGGAGGUGAAUGACACUUGAUGGUCCAGAUGGCAACAAGUGAUGUUAGCAGUUGGGAGGAAAAGAAUCUCCUAGCAAACAUCGCCAGCUUUGUUCGGUUCCAGCGCUUAGGGCAUUCUUCAUGCUUCAUGUCAAUUGAUUUCAGUUACUCUCACACAGAAGCCUCAUUUUCUAUCAGGCUUGUUCAGCUGAACAUCAAACUUCUGUACCUA